UACAGAGGGGGCAAGCGUUGUUCGGAAUUACUGGGCGUAAAGGGCGCGUAGGCGGCCUUCUAAGUCGAACGUGAAAUCCCCGGGCUCAACCCGGGAACUGCGUCCGAUACUGGAAGGCUUGAAUCCGGGAGAGGGAUGUGGAAUUCCGGGUGUAGCGGUGAAAUGCGUAGAUAUCCGGAGGAACACCGGUGGCGAAGGCGGCUUCCUGGACCGACACUGACGCUGAGGCGCGAAAGCUAGGGGAGCAAACGGG
rnacentral:rRNA from 1 species